AUCAAUAUAUCAUUAUCUACUUCAGUUCAAAUAUUGUAAGAAUAUUGAAAGAAAUUAAUCAGUAGUGAAUUAUUUUAGAUAUUUGAUUUCCAGAUGAAUAUGGAAUAUAAUCAAUAGUGUAACGAGAGAUUUUGCUUUUAGCCGUUUUGAAAAAUCUUGCAAUACCUUGAAGAGAAACCCUGAAAAAAUGGGUCUAAAUAUCAUAAAAAUUUCACUUCUCCCCACUGAUCUAAUUAAGGUGAUGACAGUAUCAGGACACUUUGAUUUGCAUAAAAUAAUAAUUAGUUCUAAGACUAAGGCUUUAAAUAAAUAAUAAUUGGCUAUAAUUUAAAAUUAGAAAUCCAAAAUGGCAAAUGCAAUAAUCCUCUAUGAGAGACCCAGGGUUAGGGUAUGGAAAGUUCCAGCAACUCAUAGGGAGGAGCUUAGCUAUCUAAAAACAGGAUGCCAUAAGAGGUGAGGAACUAGACAGGAAGUACAAAUACACUAGUAAAAAGGGGAGGAUCUAAAUGGGAAGAGGAGUUAUGCUAAUAUCUGGAAGCUGAUUGGCUGAGUCAGGCUAAUAAAUUAUGUUAAUGAGCAAACCUUGAGAGAGCAACCAUUAUAUGAGGCUGACAGCCAGCAGGCUUAUUUGUGGGGUUUUUGUGAGUAUGAGCUGAGAAGAAGGGAAAGGACAAGAUCAAGCACGCCUCCGUUUCUAUGACAACAACAGCAGUGACAACAGAAGAUUCAGGAAGGCAGCAGCUUGUGAAGCAGCUAAACACCACUACCAGAGCAGCCCUGCAGCUCCUGAAUGGGUAGUCCCUGUGACCUGCACUGGCAACAAUAACAACCACCAUCUCCGACAUUAAUACCACUCUGACAACGCUGAAGAACCUUUCCUUUUGAGACGAGUCAGAAAGCUCAAAGAAGAAUAGAAGUGGAAAAAAGGAGGAACAGAGAGAUGAAGUGACAUGCCCAAGUCACACAGCAGCUCAGUGACAACUGGAACACCACCCAGGUCUCUUGAUACAAAGGGCAGUGCCAUGAUUGCUAGACAAUGCUACUGUACCAUUUGCCAAUGACAAUUUUAAGAAAUGAAUGAAUAAUAAAAAUUACUAGGA